GGAAUAUGUGUGAGUAAGUGGACAGUGUGUGUGCUGGUGCAGGGGGUUCAGACUGGCAUUCAGAUGAGCACAAUACAAGAUAUUUAAUGCUCAAUGAUGAAUUGAUUAGAGAAAAAGGGAGUGUGUUUAACAGUAGAGAGUGUAGUAGAUGAUAGUAGUAGAUGAUAGCGGUAGGUGAUAGUGGUAGGUGAUAGUAGUAGGUGAUAGUAGUAGGUGAUAGUAGUAGAUGAUAGUAGUAGGUGAUUGUAGUAGGUGAUAGCAGUAGAUUAUAGUAGUAGAGGAUAGUAGUAGUCGACAGUAGUUGGUGAUAGUAGUAGAUGAUAGUUGUAGGUGAUAGUGUUAGGUGAUUGUAGUAGAUGACAGUUGUAGAUGACAGUAGUAGAUGACAGUAGUAGAUGAUAGUAGUAGGUGAUAGUAGUAGGUGAUAGUAGUAGAUGAUAGUAUUAGGUGAUGGUAGUAGGUCAUGGUGGUAGAUGAUAGUGGUAGAUGAUAGUAGUAGGUGAUAUUGGUAGAUGAUAGUUGUAGGUGAAAGUAGUAGGUGAUAGUAGUAGGUGAGAGUAGUAGAUGAUAGUAGCAGAUGAUAGUAGUUGGUGAUAGUAGUAGAUGAAAGUAGUAGAUGAUAGUAGUAGAUGAUAUUAGCAGGUGGAAUUAGUAUUUGAUAGGAGUAGGUGAUAGUAGUAUUUGAUAGUAGCAAGUGAUUGUAGUAGGUGAUACUUGUAGGUGAUAGUAGUAGUUGAUAGUAGUAGGUGAUAGUAGUAGGUAAUAGUAGUAGGUGAAAAUAGUAGGUGAUAGUAGUAGGUGAUAGUAGCAGAUGAUAGUAGUAGGUGAUAGUAGUAGAUAAUAGUAGUAGAUGAUAUUUGUAGGUGAUAGUAACAGGUGAUAGUAGUAGGUGAUUGUUAUAGCAGUCAGUAGUAGGUGAUAGUAUUAGAUGAUAAUAGUAGAUGAUAGUAGUAGGUGAUAGUUGUAGCUUUCAGUAGUAGGUGAUAGUAGUAGAUGAUAGUAGUAGAUGAAAGUAGUAGGGGAUAGUAGUAGGUGAUUGUAGUUGGUAAUAGUAAUAGAUGAUAGUUGUAGGUGAAAAUAGUAGGUGAUAGUAGUAGGUGAUAAUAGUAUAUGAUAGUAGUAGGUGAUAGUAGUGGAUGAUAGUAGUAGGUGAUAGUAGUUUGUGAUAGUAAUAGAUGAAUGUAGUAGAUGACAGUAGUAGAUGACAGUAGUAGAUGACAGUAGUAGGUGAUAGUAGUAGAUUCUAGUUGUAGUUGAAAAUAGUAGGUGAUAGUAGUAGAUGAUAGUAGUAGGUGAUAGUAGUAGAUGAUAUUUGUAGGUGAUAGUUGUAGUGAAAGUAGUAGGGGAUAGUAGUAGAUGAGAGUAGUAGGUGAUAGUAGUAGAUGAUAGUUGUAGGUGAUAGUUGUAGUGAAAGUAGUAGGGGAUAGUAGUAGGUGAUAGUAGUAGGUAAUAGUAAUAGAUGAUAGUUGUAGGUGAAAAUAGUAGUUGAUAGUAGUAGGUGAUUAUAGUAUAUGAUAGUAGUAGGUGAUAGUAGUAGGUGAUAGUAGUUUGUGAUAGUAAUAGAUGAAUGUAGUAGGUGAUAGUAGUAGAUGAUAGUAGUAUAUGAUGGUAGUAGGUGAUAGUAGUAGAUGACAGUAGUAGAUGACAGUAGUAGAUGAUAGUAGUAGGUGAUAGUAGUAGAUGACAGUAGUAGAUGAAAGUAGUAGAUGAUAGUAGUAGGUGAUAGUAGUAGGUGAUAGUAGUAGGUGAUUGUAGUAGAUUAUGGUAGUAGAUGAUAGUAGUAGAUGACAGUAGUAGGUGAUAGUAGUAGGUGAUUGUAGUAGAUUAUGGUAGUAGAUGAUAGUAGUAGGUGAUAGUAGUAGGUGAUGGUAGUAGAUGAUAGUUGUAGGUGAUAAUAGUAGGUGAUAGUAGUAGGUGAUAGUAGUGGGUGAUAGUAGUGGGUGAUAGUAGUGGGUGAUUGUAGUAGGUGGUAUGAGUAGAUGAUACUAGUAGAUGAUAGUAGUAGGUGAUAGUAGUAGAUGAUAGUAGUAGAUGACAGUAGUAGAUGACAGUUGUAGAUGAAAGUAGUAGAUGAUAGUAGUAGGUUAUAGUAGUAG
rnacentral:lncRNA from 1 species